rnacentral:lncRNA from 1 species
GUUCAAAAAGCUUUAAUGAUGCUAACCUCUAAGUCUUGAAAGUGGUGUGUACUGAACUUAUAGAGACGUAUGUAAAGUAAAAAUAUAUGUGAUAAUGUGGUUGUCACCCUCCCCCUUUUUUAGUUUCUUCUUAUCGAACCAACAGUAUCCCUUACCAACUUGAUAAAGUCGUCCUUCAGGAGAAAAUAUAGUAAUAUGUCUGUCGAAACCUGCACUGCUACCUCGAGACAUCUUUUUAUGAACAAAUGUCCAUGAAAUUAUAAAAAAUGCCGGGUGAUAAAGCUCUUUCAAAAGUGCUGACUUUACUGUCUG